rnacentral:rRNA from 1 species
AGCAGUCGCCACGGGAAUACGGAGGGUGCGAGCGUUAAUCGGAAUUACUGGGCGUAAAGCGUGCGCAGGCGGUUAUAUAAGACAGAUGUGAAAUCCCCGGGCUCAACCUGGGACCUGCAUUUGUGACUGUAUAGCUAGAGUACGGUAGAGGGGGAUGGAAUUCCGCGUGUAGCAGUGAAAUGCGUAGAUAUGCGGAGGAACACCGAUGGCGAAGGCAAUCCCCUGGACCUGUACUGACGCUCAUGCACGAAAGCGUGGGGAGCAAACAGGAUUAGAUACCCGCGUAGUCCCUGUCUCUUAUAC